rnacentral:rRNA from 1 species
AUUGACCGCUGGCGGCAGGCUUAACACAUGCAAGUCGAACGAUGACUCUCUAGCUUGCUAGAGAAGAUUAGUGGCGGACGGGUGAGUAACAUUUAGGAAUCUGCCUAGUAGUGGGGGAUAGCUCGGGGAAACUCGAAUUAAUACCGCAUACGACCUACGGGUGAAAGGGGGCGCAAGCUCUUGCUAUUAGAUGAGCCUAAAUCAGAUUAGCUAGUUGGUGGGGUAAAGGCCCACCAAGGCGACGAUCUGUAACUGGUCUGAGAGGAUGAUCAGUCACACCGGAACUGAGACACGGUCCGGACUCCUACGGGAGGCAGCAGUGGGGAAUAUUGGACAAUGGGGGGAACCCUGAUCCAGCCAUGCCGCGUGUGUGAAGAAGGCCUUAUGGUUGUAAAGCACUUUAAGCGAGGAGGAGGCUCUUUUGGUUAAUACCCAAGAUGAGUGGACGUUACUCGCAGAAUAAGCACCGGCUAACUCUGUGCCAGCAGCCGCGGUAAUACAGAGGGUGCGAGCGUUAAUCGGAUUUACUGGGCGUAAAGCGUGCGUAGGCGGCUUUUUAAGUCGGAUGUGAAAUCCCCGAGCUUAACUUGGGAAUUGCAUUCGAUACUGGGAAGCUAGAGUAUGGGAGAGGAUGGUAGAAUUCCAGGUGUAGCGGUGAAAUGCGUAGAGAUCUGGAGGAAUACCGAUGGCGAAGGCAGCCAUCUGGCCUAAUACUGACGCUGAGGUACGAAAGCAUGGGGAGCAAACAGGAUUGGAUACCCUGGUAGUCCAUGCCGUAAACGAUGUCUACUACCCGUUGGGGUCUUUGAGACUUUAGUGGCGCAGCUAACGCGAUAAGUAGCCCGCCUGGGGAGUCCGGUCGCAAGACUAAAACUCAAAUGAAUUGACGGGGGCCCGCACAAGCGGUGGAGCAUGUGGUUUAAUUCGAUGCAACGCGAAGAACCUUACCUGGUCUUGACAUAGUAAGCACUUUCCAGAGAUGGAUUGGUGCCUUCGGGAACUUACAUACAGGUGCUGCAUGGCUGUCGACAGCUCGUGUCGUGAGAUGUUGGGUUAAGUCCCGCAACGAGCGCAACCCUUUUCCUUACUUGCCAGCAUUUCGGAUGGGAACUUUAAGGAUACUGCCAGUGACAAACUGGAGGAAGGCGGGGACGACGUCAAGUCAUCAUGGCCCUUACGACCAGGGCUACACACGUGCUACAAUGGUCGGUACAAAGGGUUGCUACCUAGCGAUAGGAUGCUAAUCUCAAAAAGCCGAUCGUAGUCCGGAUUGGAGUCUGCAACUCGACUCCAUGAAGUCGGAAUCGCUAGUAAUCGCGGAUCAGAAUGCCGCGGUGAAUACGUUCCCGGGCCC